UGGGGAAUUUUGGACAAUGGGCGAAAGCCUGAUCCAGCAAUGCCGCGUGUGUGAAGAAGGCCUUCGGGUUGUAAAGCACUUUUGUCCGGAAAGAAACCCUUGGCUCUAAUACAGUCGGGGGAUGACGGUACCGGAAGAAUAAGCACCGGCUAACUACGUGCCAGCAGCCGCGGUAAUACGUAGGGUGCAAGCGUUAAUCGGAAUUACUGGGCGUAAAGCGUGCGCAGGCGGUUUGCUAAGACCGAUGUGAAAUCCCCGGGCUCAACCUGGGGAACUGCAUUGGUGACUGGCAGGCUAGAGUAUGGCAGAGGGGGGUUAGAAUUCCACGUGUAGCAGUGAAAUGCGUAGAGAUGUGGAGGAAUACCGAUGGCGAAGGCAGCCCCCUGGGCCAAUACUGACGCUUAUGCACGAAAGCGUGGGGAGCAAACAGGAUUCAGAUACUCUGGUAGUCCACGCCCUAAACGAUGUCAACUAGUUGUUGGGGAUUCAUUUCCUUAGUAACGUAGCUAACGCGUGAAGUUGACCGCCUGGGGAGUACGGUCG
rnacentral:rRNA from 1 species